rnacentral:tRNA from 1 species
GGGCCGUUAGCUCAGUAGGUAGAGCAUCUGACUUUUAAUCAGGUGGUCGCAGGUUCGAUCCCUGCACGGCCCACCA